rnacentral:lncRNA from 1 species
UAAGGAGUGUGAGAAGAAUUUUGAAACACGUAAUUGACACUGUUUUGAUUUUUUUAUUUUUAUUUUACAGGGUUUAACAGGAACUGAUGGCCCACCUGGCCCAAAUGGGCCUCCAGGAGACCGUGGUGCAUUAGGACCUGCUGGGCCACCUGGACCAGCUGGCAAAGGACUACCAGGACCUCCAGGGCCUCCAGGACCCAGUGGGCUCCCGGGUGGACAUGGAUUUCGGGGUCCUUCUGUGAGUUUCUCCUGCCACUUACUCCUCAUUUUCUGACUGUGUCACAACCACAGAAGAGUGAGGUUCACUUCUGGUCUCU